CAUCGCUUAGCCACAUUCCACAAAUAGGUCUGAGUCGUUCUCGUGCAUCGUUAGUCGGAAGCCAAGAUAGCAGUCGUUCGUAGUAGUAUCUAUAAUAUAGUAGAGACAACAGCCCCACCCACCCCCGGAGAAGAGGAAGCGGUUUGAUGGGGUUGAGAACUCCCACGGCUAGAGAAAAUAGCCCCCGAUACCAACAAUGAUAAUAUACGGGUUCAUAGUUAGCCGCUGCUAUUAAGGAGCAAAUAAAUAAUAGCGCUAGCGCGCUCUACCGGCAGCUGCUUUACCCAGAUUUU
rnacentral:lncRNA from 1 species